UUCAGAGAGAUGCUUCAGGGCUCAGAGGUUAAAGCCAGAGCUUUACAGGAAGGAACAACUUUGCCCAAGUCCCAGAAUUGUUCCUCUUCUCUCACCUCCAAUGUCCUUCAGAGCUAAAGUGGACUUCUAGUGAGGGGCCUUGUGCAUUUAGGUCACAAAAUGCUGGCAGAAGGGUGAGGUUAUGGAUGCUGUGAAAUAACAUGAGAAAAGGAAUCAAAUCUUAUUGACGAUCUUAUGGGCCUUUUCCUACCUACCUGAUCCUAUGAUGACAGCUGUCAGCUGUGACUGUGGCAACCCUCCUCAGGUGGGCCUGUAUGCUUCCCCCACACCACCUGCACCUUACCACUGCCCAAUCAGCCAGGGCUUAUCUCCCUGAUCCCACACCCUGCAGCUCCUUUGGCUCUUGUUCCUCAGUGUGCUGUCCUGCUGCUUCUGCUCCCAGCAGGUAGUGAAGCCCCCUGUGCCCGGCCCUGCUAGAGAAGGGCUGCCUGGAAGGGAAGGUGGAUGUGCUGAUCUGAGGUGACCAGGAUUGCCCCUGGCUCUUGUUUUAGAAAGGAUGCCACAUUUGCCAUUUUGUGUUCCCUUGGUGGCACAGAGAGCUGUACAACUCAGCCCCCCCCCGCUGAAUUUCAGACCAGCAGGGGCUUUCAGCUGCCCGUUCUCCCCAUGAGUUUGUGGCUGCUUCGGGCAUCACCUCCUGUCCAAAGCCCUACUGAGCCACAGCUCCUUGCACAGCUGCCCACAGAGCAGCACAAAGAGACAGAGACCUGAAAGGAGUGCACACUUGGCCACUCCAGCUCGAGCCUCAUCUUCCUUCAUUCCUCGCUUCCUCAGCAUGCGAGUUAUCCCAGCAAACCUAUCACAACUUCAAAUCAAUCCAGGAGCAGAAAUGAUGAGCAAAUGCAGGAUGCCCUUGUUUAAAGGCAGGAAAAUCUACAGCAAAUGAUAAGGUGCUACUGAAAUUUUUCUCACCUUGUCAAAUGCAUCCAAAUCCCAGUUAAUCAAUUUGACUUCCUAGAUGAUGAGUGGAGAGGUGUAAAUGAGAGGUCUCUGCCGUGUCUCCCAGUCUCUAAUGCUUUGAGAAGGGCUCAGGGUGGCAGGAUUCCCGUUACAAAGUCUUGUCUGCAGAGUGUCAGCUCUCUGCCCUCAGAUCCACAAGACACUUGUUGAUAGGCUUGUUUUUAAGACUGAAAAGUGAACAAGUUUUGAACUUCUCAUCAAAGGCAACACAACUCCAUGUGAAUGCAGAGAGAAGUGUGCUUCUAAAUGCAGUUUCUGGAUGGUCUCAGCUGGACUUGAGGGUCUCCUGCUUACGGUGUCUGUAUUUUCACAGACAAAGAGCAAUAUGCACAGGUUGGUGCACCAAAGAGUAGGCUGCUUUCAGAGGUGAAGAAGCAAAUGUGUGCAGUAACAGUAUAUGUACAUGAGACAUGAAAAAUUGCUUAUUUUCUCCAUUCAUUGACAAGUCAUUUUUGUUAGCAGUGAGUUUUCAGUUAAGGAAAAGAUAGUUUGGGUUUCUUUUUUCUGUCCUAUAUUCCAACACAGAUUAUGAAGAAUGACCAGAUUUAGCACCUACCAAAGAAGAAAACUUACCCUAAGGAGUGUUAAAGGCUUGGAGGCUUCUGGAGCCAAAAGUCUACCACAGCAAAGGAAACUGCAUUCUUCAGAAAUGUCAGGGUGGCUGCUCUUCCCAGAAGUGGGGCUGUUCCUGUGUGCUGCAGACUGCCCACCAGCGCAGUGAGCCGCGCUGGCGUACCAAGAGACUCCAACAGGACUUUGCUGUCUGCCAGUGUUAUCUGCUGGAUUCAUACCACAAUGGAUAUCAUGUGGCCAGAUGUCAGAUGGGAACCGAACACACUGUCAGUGGCAGUCUGUGUGAUUUUAAGGAGAUAAAAAGGAAAAAAAUAGAAAAAAGAAAAAAGAAAAAAAAAAUAAGGCUCAAGAUCCAGACCCAAGAGGACUAACUAAACAAUACCCAUCAGCUCAGGGAGAGGGAAGAUUUACAAUGUCAUAUUGGUUUUCUUUGUUCUGUCACCCAAAUCUUUCAGCUGAAAAUUCAAGGACUAUCAAACCCAUUUUAAAGCCUUUCUUUUCCAGCCACUCUGAAGUUCCAUUAUUAGUAGCUAUUACGUACUUGCCAUUUGUGUUUUGAAUAAUAAAGUCUAAAUUGUAACAGUCCACAGAAAAUCAAAUGCAA